AGGUAAAUGUUUUUUAAAGUAGUAUGUUUAAUAUUGCAACAAAGUGUUUGUACAUUUCUAGGUUUUAGAAGAAGUUCUAUGAGUUAUUAUUCUUAUGAUUGAGUGGCAACAGUUGCGGCAGUGGUCUACUCAGUGUGAAAACUCCUUGCUUCCGGAUCGCAGGCAUCUGUGACUUCAGAAAGCUUUCGGAGAAAUGGUUGUUGCAGUUGGAGGGGAAAGAUGACAAUAUUUGUCCUUCUCAGUGUGUUUUUAUCGAGUGAAUGAGGUGGUUGACUCUGUCAUGCUCACUUUUUGCUAUCAGAAAGCACAUCAGUAGCUAUCACAGAUAGGAUCAUUUCCAUUCAAGAAACAAGGGGUGGAUGCUUUAAGAUCAGUGAAUAAGCUUAUUAAAAACGAAUUUCGACAAGCAAGUGAUCUAACAAUGAUGAAAGAACUGCAUGGAGCAAAACAUAUUGAGAAUUGUUGCUACAUAAUGUCUAAUAUCGACAUGUCCAUAAUGACAAACAAGUUGCGGCCUUCUUUUCUGAUAAUGUGAUACUCCAUAAUUAAG